rnacentral:lncRNA from 1 species
GCUGUGUAUUUAAAUAAAAAUAUAUGCCUAUAGCAUGUUUAGCAUGUUGUUAUCAAACUUGAUAAUUCACCGUUUCAGAAGCUAAAGGCCAUUAUAAAAUAAUUACUCUUGAAAUUAAGAUGUACAUGUACACUAACAAAACUUUUAGCCAAUUAAGUUACAUUAUAUUAUUAUCAAACCAAUCAAAACAAUUUGGUGUACGUUUUACUAACAUUGCUUUAGAUUCUGAGAUGGCGAAUUAAUCUUAUAUUGAUUUAUAUGAUAUAUAGGUUCCUAGAUAAUAGAGUUACUUUUGUACACAUGUAAUGUCGCGAUAUAACAUGUAUAACCAUGACUUACUUACAUGUAUCCUGGUACAGAAUAUUAAUUGGUCCAAAAUGACGGCUACACAUAAUAUAAUAUGAUACUUGUACAUAGU